rnacentral:rRNA from 1 species
AACGUAGGUCACAAGCGUUGUUCGGAAUUACUGGGUGUAAAGGGAGCGCAGGCGGGAAGACAAGUUGGAAGUGAAAUCUAUGGGCUCAACCCAUAAACUGCUUUCAAAACUGUUUUUCUUGAGUAGUGCAGAGGUAGGCGGAAUUCCCGGUGUAGCGGUGGAAUGCGUAGAUAUCGGGAGGAACACCAGUGGCGAAGGCGGCCUACUGGGCACCAACUGACGCUGAGGCUCGAAAGUGUGGGUAGCAAACAGG